GACGAAGGUGGCGAGCGUUGUUCGGAAUCACUGGGCAUAAAGAGCACGUAGGCGGCUAAGUCAGUCGGAUGUGAAAUACCUCGGCUCAACCGAGGAACUGCGUCCGAUACUGCUUGGCUUGAGGUCCGGAGGGGAGAGUGGAAUUCCCGGUGGAGCGGUGAAAUGCGUAGAGAUCGGGAAGAACGCCGGCGGCGAGAGCGACUCUCUGGUCGGAAUCUGACGCUGAGGUGCGAAAGCUAGGGGAGCAAACGGG
rnacentral:rRNA from 1 species